UACAAGUCACAUCCAGAAAUUGAAUUAAAUACAUUCCCAAUGUCUUCACCAUCGAGAGCUUCCCGCUUCCUUAGAGAAGUAGAUGUGCUAAAGUUGUACUCUGGUCUCCAUAUUGGGUAUUGUUCAGUAGGAAACGUCAAUCUGUUCAAAACUGAAUCAUAUUGACAUUCUUUAUUGCGCUUUUUAAACUCUUCAGAUAUUGUGGAAGAAGUAUUAUUAAAAUAGUAUCCAAGUUUGCUGAUAUGUUCCACCCAAAUAGAAGCAGUAAUUUGUUCUUGAGUUUCGUAGUCCGCCGUAAGUCCACUGACGAUUCCCACGCCCAUAAAAUUUAUAUUCAAAGAUGGUUCAGAAAGUAAUGCCUCUGCAAAAUUGGCGCUCCAUAUGCUACCGUAGCUUUCGCCGACAAGGUAGAGCUUUUUCUUCAUUAAGUGGGGAAACUUUUGGUAAAAUGAUUUCAGGGCAUUUACAAAAUCUGAAGAAGCUUCUUCAAUCGUAGUUGUAUAUGCCGCCUGUCCUUGGGAGUACCCCGUACCAAAUGGCUGAUCUAACCAUAACAUGUUGGCGAAGUUUGUCCAAGAUUCAGGAUUAAGGGAUGGUGAGGGGCUACUUUGGGAUAUUUCAAUGGGUCCAUUUUCACUGAAAAAGCCUAAUGUUCCAGCGCAUCCAGGUCCUCCUUGAAGCCAUACUAUGAAAGUUUCCGAAUCAACAACAGCAGGGGCAUAUGUAUAAAAAAGUGAUUUAUCGGAAUUCGCUUCCAAGUAUCCAGAAUAUAAUUCCGGUAAUGAUCCCUUAAAUUCAGGAAGUGAUUUAAUUCGAUCCGAAGAAGGAGCAGCGUGUUGUCUAGGUUGAACAGUCUGAUUCGAGGAAGCAGAACUCGUGUUGGCUUGUUGUAUACUGCAUUUCCAAUGUACAGUGUAAGUUGGUAAAGCGUGAAUGAUAGUCAAUUCAAUUAUUAUAAUAGCAAAAAGAGAUUUCAAAAAUAAAGACAGCAUUGAAAAGAGAGACAAUGAUUUUGAGCCUAUGAGAAAAGCGUUAGCGCUAAAUUAAAUAUAAUAUUUAUCAUAUUUGGAAUAUAUUGAUGUAUUCAGUUUCGAAACAAUUCUUGAAAAGUGACUAUAAUUUUAUACGCUUCAGUAUUUCGAAAAAUGUGAAAAUGCUAUGACUUACUCGAAUAAAGAAACCGGAUUGUUUAUCUGAUUCAUUUUCAUAAGAGUUGCAUGCUAUAUAUGAUAAUACAUAAUAAUGGGGAUUCACUUGAAUAGAUUAGCAUUGUCCAUUGUUUACAAUCAACAACAAUAGAGAUGGGCAACAAAGACACCCAGCGAAGUACCAUUUACUAGUAAUAGGCUAAUUCAUUUAAGUUUUUCAACACAAUAGUCCUUAAUGAAAAAACCAAUUGUUUCGUUUACGCGGCAAGUGAAUAGGGUAGGACUAGAAUAACCUAUGGUCUGUUUAAAUCGAAAACCAGCUUAUUUCAGCAGCGAUCAUUUAUGCAUUCUUAAUGCUUAACAAUGCGAGGCGACUCAAAGAAUGGAGAAAAUUGAUUGUUUUAUGACCGGUGGAAUCGAAUAAUUUGACUUUUGCUAUGAAGGCUUUAGCCCUUAG